rnacentral:piRNA from 1 species
GUAACAGUUUAAGCGCGCGGUUGCGGAU